rnacentral:rRNA from 1 species
ACCAGACUCCUACGGGAGGCAGCAGUGGGGAAUAUUGGACAAUGGGGGGAACCCUGAUCCAGCGACGCCGCGUGAGUGAAGAAGUAUUUCGGUGUGUAAAGCUCUAUCAGCAGGGAAGAAAGAAAUGACGGUACCUGACUAAGAAGCCCCGGCUAACUACGUGCCAGCAGCCGCGGUAAUACGUAGGGGGCAAGCGUUAUCCGGAUUUACUGGGUGUAAAGGGAGCGUAGACGGCAAUGCAAGUCUGGAGUGAAAGGCCGGGGCCCAACCCCCGGACUGCUCUGGAAACUGUAUAGCUGGAGUGCAGGAGAGGUAAGUGGAAUUCCUAGUGUAGCGGUGAAAUGCGUAGAUAUUAGGAGGAACACCAGUGGCGAAGGCGGCUUACUGGACUGUAACUGACGUUGAGGCUCGAAAGCGUGGGGAGCAAACAGGAUUAGAUACCCCGGUAAG